GAGUUUGAUUCUGGCUCAGAUUGAACGCUGGCGGCAUGCUUUACACAUGCAAGUCGGACGGCAGCACAAAGAAGCUUGCUUCUUGGGUGGCGAGUGGCGAACGGGUGAGUAACGCAUCGGAACGUACCGAGUAGUGGGGGAUAACUGUCCGAAAGGAUGGCUAAUACCGCAUACGCUUUGAGAAGGAAAGCGGGGGAUCUUCGGACCUCGCGCUAUUCGAACGGCCGAUGUCUGAUUAGCUGGUUGGUGGGGUAAAGGCCUACCAAGGCGACGAUCAGUAGCGGGUCUGAGAGGAUGAUCCGCCACACUGGGACUGAGACACGGCCCAGACUCCUACGGGAGGCAGCAGUGGGGAAUUUUGGACAAUGGGCGCAAGCCUGAUCCAGCCAUGCCGCGUGUCUGAAGAAGGCCUUCGGGUUGUAAAGGACUUUUGUCAGGGAAGAAAAGCUUGAGGCUAAUACCCUUGAGUGAUGANCGUACCUAAGA
rnacentral:rRNA from 1 species